rnacentral:rRNA from 1 species
AGUGAACGCUGGCGGUAGGCCUAACACAUGCAAGUCGAACGGCAGCACAGUAAGAUCUUGCUCUUACGGGUGGCGAGUGGCGGACGGGUGAGGUAUACAUCGGAAUCUACUUUUUCGUGGGGGAUAACGUAGGGAAACUUACGCUAAUACCGCAUACGACCUACGGGUGAAAGCAGGGGAUCUUCGGACCUUGCGCGAUUGAAUGAGCCGAUGUCGGAGUAGCUAGUUGGCGGGGUAAAGGCCCACCAAGGCGACGAUCCGUAGCUGGUCUGAGAGGAUGAUCAGCCACACUGGAACUGAGACACGGUCCAGACUCCUACGGGAGGCAGCAGUGGGGAAUAUUGGACAAUGGGCGCAAGCCUGAUCCAGCCAUACCGCGUGGGUGAAGAAGGCCUUCGGGUUGUAAAGCCCUUUUGUUGGGAAAGAAAAGCAGCAGGUUAAUACCACGCUGUUAUGACGGUACCCAAAGAAUAAGCACCGGCUAACUUCGUG